rnacentral:lncRNA from 1 species
AUUCCCUUUGCCUUCCGGGCGCCAAGUCUCUCUGGCCUCCAAGGUGAACCCAACUCCCCAGCGCGCCCCGGGUUCCCGGGUCGGGCCGGCUUCAGGCGGUGGGGAGCGGGAUCCCGGGCCCCGGGCGGGCGGGAGGGACGGGACGCGGUGCAGUGUUGUUUUUUCCCCCGCCAAUAUUGCACUCGUCCCGGCCUCCGGCCCCCCCGGCCCCCCGGCCUCCCCGCUACCCCUAGCGGGGCAGCCCCCGCCCUCCUGGCUCUCCAUCCCGGCGGAUCUUUGAUAGACUGGAGUGUCGCCGCUGCCACCGUGAGUGCUUGUGUCCGUGGUGAGAAGGGUGAUGGAGAGAAGUGGCUGCAGUUCCCACCCAUGGAGAGGUCACUGGUGAAUCCCAGCUAAAGAGGAAGGACAGGCCCGGCCUGAGUCCCACAGGGCUUGCUGCCUCCACCUGGGCAAAGGCAACACCAGUCUAACGUGCUCUGGGUCCGCAGGCUUACCAUCUGAGUCCUUCUGAUUGGGAUUGGGUACCAGGCGGCAGUUAUCGGGACCAGGAGGCACAUAAUCUGGGAUGCCAUCAUUGUCAUCAUCCCCAUCACACUCAUCUCCAAGUCCAUCGUUAUCAGAGUCCAGCUGGGAGCUAUUUGGCAGCUGUGGGCAGUUGUCCUUGGUGUCCUGAUGCCCAUCCCCAUCGCUAAUCAGAAGAACAGGUUGGUGAAAGUCCCGAACUUUGUCUCCCCACCCAGAGGACAACUGGCCAGGAAAUCUGCCUGUUUCUUGUCUCACCCUCUAGUCCACACUCUGCCUAACACUACGCCCUACCUCACAUUCCUAUUGACAUCUGCUGCAGGUAAUCUCUCCUCACCCAGGCCAACGUCCACAAGCCUGCCUCCCUAUUUCACAGAGACUUCCUAGCUUCCCUGCUUCAUCCCCACCUGAUCCAAAUUCUCACAGGUCCCCCAGCCACCCCUUCAGCCCCAGGCCUGCACCAUCCCCAUCCACGUCGUUGUCACAGGCAUCUCCUUCCCCAUUGCCAUCUGUGUCCUUCUGGUCAUUGUUGGGAACGUUGGGGCAAUUGUCACAGGCAUCACCAAAUGAAUCUGUAUCUGAGU